UACGUAGGGUGCGAGCGUUAAUCGGAAUUACUGGGCGUAAAGUGUGCGCAGGCGGCCGAGCAAGUCGAGUGUGAAAUCCCCGGGCUAACCUGGGAAUUGCGCUUGAAACUAGGCUGCUUGAGUGUGGCAGAGGGGGGUGGAAUUCCACGUGUAGCAGUGAAAUGCGUAGAGAUGAUGGAGGAACACCGAUGGCGAAGGCAGCCCCCUGGGUCAACACUGACGCUCGAUGCACGAAAGCGUGGGGAGCAAACAGG
rnacentral:rRNA from 1 species